CCGCAUUUAGCAUUAAAGGGGAUCAUACAUAAGUGUCUUGAUGAAAAUUGCAUCAAAACAUUAUAGCAAAUUGCCAUUCAAUUGCUUGAAAUCGCCUCAAAGUUGAAACUUGGUGAAUUAGUUUCACCAUCUCGUGCUCAUGGAAUUUACAAUUACAUGUAUCAGUUGCAUAAAUAUUUAGUUUCUUUACCAAGACCCUAUGCAAGACAUGUAGUCAUGAAUUUAGAACAAAUUAAACGUCUCUAUAUUCACUGCUGAGUUCUUGGAAACUACAGAAAGCAAAGCAAUAUAUCAGUAUCAAAACCACAAUCCAACGAAAAAAGAACAAAUAACUUUCUGUUCAGAAAAUCUUUAAUUUGUUUUCGACAUAAUAAUUUAAAGAAAAACUAUAAUUCCAAUUUACUUCAGCUAAAGAUUUCUAUAUGAUUUGCAUGUGAGUAAAUUAUAAACAUAGACAGCAAUUAUUCUCAGACAAUACAAGUACACAAAAGGUCAUUGUUGAAUGUAAUCAGACUUCACACUUAAGGGCAUAAAAAGCACAUUAAUGGUGCAUACGUGUUAGCACACACCUGAAGGAAUGUGUGAAGGUCAAAGAUCGAGAGAAUGCUUAUUCUACUCACAUCUAAGCUAUUGGUCGAGAACACUAAUGUACAAAUAUGCAAAUCAUUGCGUCCAUGUAGAUAAAGAGAGCAUUGGAAGUUUCAUAAGAUGAUCAUAUGAUGAUACGAAAUAACUUUGGAAAAAUUUAAAAUUGGACAUCUUACAUGAUAGAUUCCUACAAAUUAUGAAACUGUUAUGCUUUAAUUUUGCUAUCGAAUGGAAAAGUUUCCAUCAGAAGUGUCUCUAUGUGCGUGUGAGAGAGAAAUGAGUUAAGAGUCACUCCUCGGUAAAUAAAUAAUGCAUUAAAGCAAAGAGCACCUAAUCAUUUUUAAUUGUUGAUGAUGACAAGUAUGUAAAAAUUUGAAAAGUCCAAAAUUACCUCGUCAAUGUUGCAUAUAAAGGAUAAGACAACAAGUUCGAAAAAGCCAUCUCCGCAUCCGUUAUCAACUAAAUCCCAUCCUUCAACAGUUGAACGGUCUCUUACAUGUAUGAAUUCAUAAUACAAUAUAUAUAUAUAUAUUCACCAACCAAUGCAAAUAACAAAAUCAAAUGCUCAGCUAAGAACUAUGAAUAAUCACUUUGAUCUGAUAUCAGCUCAAUAUGUGAACCAAAAAAACAAAAAAAUAAAAUAAAAUAAUAUAUAUAAAUAAAGGAAUGCCCAACUACAAUAAUGUAGAAAAGGUUUAUCACAAAAAUAAGUGCAAAAGAAGAUGGAAGAGAAUGCUCUUACUUCUGCAGUGUUCUUCCCCGAUUUAGCAAAGAUACCAGUGCUCC
rnacentral:lncRNA from 1 species